AAAAAUAAUAUAAAAAUAAAUAUAAUAAUACAGUCUUGAUUAGGCUCGCGAGUCUCACAAACCGAGUAAUAUGAACUGCGAACUUGACUCUAUAAACUAUUCAAAUAGCUUGAGUUCGAGUUCGGCUCGAUUAUUUUCGAUCCGAAUUCAAAUAUUUUACGAGCUGAGCUCGAGCAACUCACGAACCGUUUAGCUGAUCAACGCCCCUACUCUCACCCAUCUCUCUAAAUCUCUCUCUCGCCUACCCUGCUUCUCCUCUCCAUCUUUUUUUAAACCCACAGCUGAGCCGCUGCGGCUAUCACUAGCCAGUAGCCACCUCCCUUCACUUAGCUCUAUCCUUCUUUGUAUCCUUCACGGACCCAUAUAACUCUGGCCGAAAAUUAUCCAGCCUUCUUCAAACAACCACAUGUCCGUCGCCCUCCUUAUUCCUCCGGCCAUCAACANCCCAUUUCUAAAACAAUCUUUCACAGUAAGCAUAUAUACAUAGGCACACAUAUAGGCCAACAUUCAAGAGAGGGACUUCUUAUAUGGAGUUACAUAGUGCGCC
rnacentral:lncRNA from 1 species